UUCAUGCCCUCAGAUAGCCCGGGAGCAAAUAAAAACACACGCUUAAAUGCACACUUUCCGAAUACAGCGUGAAAAACUGGUACGGCCCUACCGGCUGCCGUACAAUGGGGACGUCACGGGGUCAGAGUUGAACGGAAGGAAAACAAGCAGCAUGGAGACAGAAGAGAGGCGGAGGAGAAGGGGUUCUGCGAAAAGCUCCAAAAAAGGUGGGAAAUGUGUCAAAGUAAGGACCGCCGAAGAAGAAGCGAGGAGGAGAGAGGAGGUGAAGGAGAGGCUGAGGGAGAAGCUGGAGCUGGAGAGGAGAGCCCUGAAGGUGGUGGAGCGCCUCCUAGAGGACAGCGUGGCUGAAGACUUUCUGAUUGACUGUGCCAAGCUCAUAACUCCUGCUAACUACAAAGACGCUGUGGAGGAGAGAUUCAUCGCCAAACUCUGUGGUUAUCCUGUAUGUCCAAACAAACUGGGCAAGAUCCCAAACCAACGGUUUAAAAUAUCUACCAAAACAAACCGGGUUUAUGACAUCACAGAGCGGAAGUGUUUUUGCAGCAACUUCUGCUACAAAGCUUCCAAACACUAUGAGCUGCAGAUAUCGAAGACGCCUCUUUGGCUCAGGCAGCAUGAAAGUCCCCCAGAGGUGAGGUUGCUGAAGAAAGGAGAUGGUGGGAGCUCUGGUGAGGAGGUGCUGCUGUCCGAGAGGCGCCUCAAAGAGGAGGACAUCGAGGACCCCCUGGCUGCCCCGCCUCAGGACCCUCCUGGCUCCAAGCACAGUGCCACAGGAAGUGACCUCAGUCAAAGCAGCGACAGCGAACAGGAGCAGGACUUCGUCUCCAGUGUUGUCCCCAGAGCCCAUGUGAGCUGGGCAGACCUGCCCAAACACACAGACGGACACGGGAAGCAGAGCGAGCAGCGACAUGCUGACAACCCAGAGGACAGGGGGAGAGCAGGAGGAGAUGAUGGGUCUCCUGGGAACAGACCUGUGGAGGAGGCCACAGCAAAGCUGAACGAGUGUAGCGUGUCAGAGAGAGUCCAUCCCAACUCUGAUCUGCUAGAAGCUGGAAGCAAACAGGCUCCAAACCUGGCGGCUCUCAGCAUCACCCAGGUGGGGAUGAGUCAGAGAGGAGCAGCUGGGCUGCGGGAUCUCCUGAACACCCAGACUGGAGAAGCCAAUCCUGACACGGUGCGGCUCAAUCUGCUGGCAUGCCUGAAGAGGACGCUAAAAGAGUGGUGCACAGACGACACUCUGAGCUUCCUGUACGGAGCCAACCAUUCUCUGGGAUCCCCAUUCUCCGACGUAAAGGAAACGCAGGAAGAGGAGCUGGAUGAAGAUGACCUCGAGGACGACGACGUGACAGAGCAGGGUGCCGAAGAGCAGGACAGGGGUCGGCCGGCAGCAGCUCCGGACUACGAGACACUGUGUAAGGAGACGGAGCGGCUGCAGCUCAGAGUCACAGAGUUUUACAGAGGGACGUGGAUUCUGCCUGAGGAGGAAGAGAUGAAGCCCAGCGAGGAGACAGAAUCAAAGAAUCCAGUUUUGCCGCUGAUCGAUUCCCAGGCUCAGAACCUCAUCCAGAAACGGAUUACAGUGGAGAAACUCAACAGCUGUCUCAAGAAGGUCGUAGGUCCGGUGGGCCUCACCAUGAGUGACAUCUCCACGGACCUGAACAACCUGGUCAGGACUUUCAGGUUCAGCAACACCAACAUCAUCCACAAAACCCCAGAGUGGACGCUGAUAGCCGUGGUGCUUCUGCAUCUGUGAGUCCACAACUCACUGCUUCUCAUUUCAUUUUACCCAAGACGCUACGAGCUGCAGCAUUGUUUUGGCCAUGCCAUAUGGUACAUAGCUGAGUGUGUGUGUGCGUGAACAGUUCCGUGCUGCUCCCGUCUGAGUACACACAGCCUUAUCUCGGCCUGAUUGCCUCCUCUCCGGAUCCGUGAUCCACCACAGAAGGCACACUUUUGUCAAACGAAACACACACACUUAAACACAGCACACACUCCUCGGGCCCGGCUGGUCUGGGAAAAGCCUCACCUGAUCCUCAUUUAUGGCAGCCUCAGUGGUCCAGCUCUGUUUGCUCAGUGUUUGCCUUCAGGCUAAGCCCUGUAGAGACCAACCGCAGUGUGAUAUGUACGGCGUGUCGGCCUCACUGGAGAAAGGAGCCGCAAACACCGGAAAACUUCUUGAAUAGCUAACGGUGAUUUUACAGCCAUCAUUGUGACGAUUAAUCAAUUAAUCUGCAAAAACAUUUGGCUCAUUCUGCAGAUGUUAAGUCACAUUAUUAAGUCUUUUCAUACAGUAUUGAAAAUGCAUUAAAAGAUACUGAAAUAAUUCAGUUAAUUUCUUAAACAAGAAAGUAAUCAUUUUAUUGCCUAAGACGCAGUCCUUUAGUUUAGUGAACUCUUCAUCAUUGGUAGCAAAAGAUCAAUCUGCAGCUAAAACAUCCUGACAUCAACAUGUGAAAAGCUCAGACCUUUCUGCUUGACUUAAUAUCAAUAUAGCAUACUACAGUUCUUUUCAGAUUAACAUAUUAAUAAUUGGAAUAAUUGGUUGAAUAACAAUAGAUUUUUUAAAAAUUAUUAUUUUGUACAGUUACUUUUUUCAGCGAUUGAUCCUUUUUUUUGAGUCUGUAUAUUCCACUUAACGGUGAAUUGGUUACUAAAUUAGUUGCCGAUUAUAUCUGUGAUCCAUUCAUCAUGAUCAAUCGGAUUAAUCGUUACAGCCCUUAUCUUGAAUUGGAUGAACUUGGAUGCUCCAGUGUUUUAAAGGAUGGGUGUGUCAUUAACUUUAUGCAUAUGUAAACCUCUGAUUGGAUUACAGCUGAUUUUCGUUUUUCUUCCACCAAUCACUGCUUUUUAAAGUGCAGUUCCACUACAACAGUGAAUCACCUGACCCCAUUAUGUGACUUCUCUCCUAUAUAUCUCAUAUUGAAGUGUCUACUGACUCAUAAAGAGCCUCGAUAUUAAAACACGGUGCACAAAAACGUGGCUGGGCCGUCCCGUGUCGCCGCGCCACUCUAUGAUUUCAUUGGUUCCCAUUGAACUCGUCUUCCACUCCAUCCUUCCAUUCCUCCAUCAUGAAUAAUUUGUUGUGCUGUCUUAUCUGUCCACUGCGUGGCAGCUGUGGAGCUCGUCUGGCCUCUAUUGUUUGGGCCAGAUGAAUAAUAGAUACCCCCCCUGUAGCUGCAACACUAGACCCUGAGUUGAACCGGAGAUUAACCAGCAGAGCCGCUCCAGUCCAGGAGAGACGGCAGGACGGACAGGCUGUCCUUUGUGUCUCCGGUGGUGCGGGACGCCCUGGAGGUGUCGGCAUCAGUGCAGUAUUUGAGCUCUCUGAUGGAGGAGCUCGGCCUGCGGCAGCACGACCUUCUCAGCG